rnacentral:rRNA from 1 species
GACGAACGCUGGCGGCGUGCUUAACACAUGCAAGUCGAACGGAAAGGCCCUGCUUUUGUGGGGUGCUCGAGUGGCGAACGGGUGAGUAACACGUGAGUAACCUGCACUUGACUUUGGGCUAACUUCAGGCAACUGGGGCUAAUACCGGAUAGGAGAUCCUGCUGCAUGGAGGCGGUUGGAAAGUUUCGGCGGUGGGGGAAGGACUCGCGGCUUAUCAGCUUGUUGGUGGGGUAGUGGCUUACCAAGGCUUUGACGGGUAGCCGGCCUGAGAGGGUGAGCGGCCACAUUGGGUCUGAGAUACGGCCCAGACCCCUACGGGAGGGAGCAGUGGGGAAUAUUGCACAAUGGGCUGAAGCCUGAUGCAGCAACGCCGCGUGCGGUAUGACGGCCUUCGGGUUGUAAACCGCUGUCGCCUGUGACGAAGCGUGAGUGACGGUACUGGGUAAAGAAGCACCGGCUAACUACGUG